UACGUAGGUGGCAAGCGUUGUCCGGAAUUACUGGGCGUAAAGGGCGUGUAGGCGGCCUUUUAAGUCAGACGUGAAAACCCUGGGCUUAGCCCAGGAACUGCGUUUGAAACUGGAGGGCUUGAGGACCGGAGAGGGUAGUGGAAUUCCCAGUGUAGCGGUGAAAUGCGUAGAUAUUGGGAGGAACACCAGUGGCGAAGGCGACUGCCUGGACGGCACCUGACGCUGAGGCGCGAAAGCUAGGGGAGCAAACGGG
rnacentral:rRNA from 1 species